AUUGAACGCUGGCGGCAUGCCUUACACAUGCAAGUCGAACGGCAGCAUGGAAGAGCUUGCUCUUCUGAUGGCGAGUGGCGAACGGGUGAGUAAUGCAUCGGAACGUACCGUGUAAUGGGGGAUAACGUAGCGAAAGUUACGCUAAUACCGCAUACGACCUGAGGGUGAAAGCAGGGGAUCGCAAGACCUUGCGUUAUACGAGCGGCCGAUGUCAGAUUAGCUAGUUGGUGAGGUAAAGGCUCACCAAGCCAACGAUCUGUAGCUGGUCUGAGAGGACGACCAGCCACACUGGAACUGAGACACGGUCCAGACUCCUACGGGAGGCAGCAGUGGGGAAUUUUGGACAAUGGGCGAAAGCCUGAUCCAGCAAUGCCGCGUGCAGGACGAAGGCCUUAGGGUUGUAAACUGCUUUUGUACGGAACGAAAAGGUAGCUCCUAAUACGAGCUGCCGAUGACGGUACCGUAAGAAUAAGCACCGGCUAACUACGUG
rnacentral:rRNA from 1 species